rnacentral:rRNA from 1 species
UCCCCUAGUAACUGCGAGUGAAGCGGGAAAAGCUCAAAUUUAAAAUCUCGGCAGUCUUUGAUUGUCCGAGUUGUAAUCUAGAGAAGCAUUAUCCGCGCUGGACCGUGUACAAGUCUCCUGGAAUGGAGCGUCAUAGAGGGUGAGAAUCCCGUCUUUGACACGGACUGCCAGGGCUUUGUGAUGUGCUCUCAAAGAGUCGAGUUGUUUGGGAAUGCAGCUCAAAUGGGUGGUAAAUUCCAUCUAAAGCUAAAUAUUGGCGAGAGACCGAUAGCGAACAAGUACCGUGAGGGAAAGAUGAAAAGAACUUUGGAAAGAGAGUUAAACAGUACGUGAAAUUGCUGAAAGGGAAACGCUUGAAGUCAGUCGCGUUGGCCGGGAAUCAACCUUGCUUUUGCUGGGCGUACUUCCUGGUUAACGGGUCAGCAUCAAUUUUGACCGUUGGAUAAAGUUGCUGGGAAUGUGGCAUCUUCGGAUGUGUUAUAGCCCAGUUUCGCAUACACGGUUGGGAUUGAGGAACUCAGCACGCCGCAAGGCCGGGUUUUUAACCACGUUCGUGCUUAGGAUGCUGGCAUAAUGGCUUUAAUCGACCCGUCUUGAAACACGGACCAAGGAGUCUAACAUGCCUGCGAGUGUUUGGGUGGAAAACCCGAGCGCGUAAUGAAAGUGAAAGUUGAGAUCCCUGUCGUGGGGAGCAUCGACCCCCGGACUUGAACUUCUGUGACGGAUCCGCGGUAGAGCAUGUAUGUUGGGACCCGAAAGAUGGUGAACUAUGCCUGAAUAGGGUGAAGCCAGAGGAAACUCUGGUGNAGGCUCGUAGCGAUUCUGACGUGCAAAUCGAUCGUCAAAUUUGGGUAUAGGGGCGAAAGACUA